GACGAACGCUGGCGGCGUGCUUAACACAUGCAAGUCGAACGGAAAGGCCCUGCUUUUGUGGGGUGCUCGAGUGGCGAACGGGUGAGUAACACGUGAGUAACCUGCCCUUGACUUUGGGAUAACUUCAGGAAACUGGGGCUAAUACCGGAUAGGAGCUCCUGCUGCAUGGUGGGGGUUGGAAAGUUUCGGCGGUUGGGGAUGGACUCGCGGCUUAUCAGCUUGUUGGUGGGGUAGUGGCUUACCAAGGCUUUGACGGGUAGCCGGCCUGAGAGGGUGACCGGCCACAUUGGGACUGAGAUACGGCCCAGACUCCUACGGGAGGCAGCAGUGGGGAAUAUUGCACAAUGGGCGGAAGCCGGAUGCAGCAACGCCGCGUGCGGGAUGACGGCCUUCGGGUUGUAAACCGCUUUCGCCUGUGACGAAGCGUGAGGGACGGUAAUGGGUAAAGAAGCACCGGCUAACUACGU
rnacentral:rRNA from 1 species